ACAAAGCGCCUUUCGGAGGCAGGAGAAAUGGCAGCACAUGAAAUAGGCAUGAUCAAAGAGGCACAUUUGUAUACAGCUCAGACACCCAAUUUAAACCCAUUAGAUAAAUGAAUAAACAAACCCAUCAUCUAGGACAUAAUUACUGAGCACCUGCCAUGUGCCAAGCCCAGAGCUAGCUGCUUCCCAUAAGUUAUCUUGCUUGCCUGACAAUUUAGAGCAGAAUCUAAAUGCCCAGGACAUGGUGCUGAUGGUGAGUGCUGGAGGAGUGCAAAGAGGAGAGAGAUGGAAGGGGGUCCAUAGAGGAGGUGGGUCUGGGCCUGGCUCCUAGUUUAUUGAGUACAGACAUAUCCUUAACUUGCCUCUCCAAUAAGACUGUAAGUUCUUCCUGUUCCCAAGAUGUCUGAAGGUGAGUGGAUAGGCAGUCCUUGGACACACCUGUAUCUCACCUGUAGGCCAGUUCCAUGAACAGGGUUAGGAACACAGCAUCCAUUGUCCUUGCUGUUUCCCAGAAGACAACUUCUAUU
rnacentral:lncRNA from 1 species